AUGAACCUUCAGAUACGAUGGACCCUUUUUAUUUUACUGUUUCUACACAACAUAGAUAUCUCUUGGGCAGACAGUUUCAUUGUUGUGGGUCCUUCUAAGCCUGUUGUCAGUUAUGUCGGUGAAGAUGUGGUCCUGCCAGCCUCCCUCUCACCGAAACUCAGUGCUGAGGAGUAUGAAGUGAGGUGGUUUACAACAGACAUUUUAUCACCAGUGCUUUUAUAUCAGAAUUACAGAAUCAGACAACAGACUGACAGAAGAAAAAUAAUGUUCAUCGAGAAUCUGAAGUAUGGCAACAUAUCCCUAAUAAUCAGAGAUGUCCAUGUUUCAGAUGAUGCUCUCUACAAGUGCUCUGUUUAUACUGGGCGAAGAGAUGAAGAAGCUCAUAUUUCAUUUUAUGUUGAAGUUUUAGGUGCUCAGCAGCUCCACUUAAGGCCAGAAGACCCACCUGGAGUGCAGCUCUGAAAAGUGGAACCCCCAACCAGAAGUCACCUGGAGGGACAUGAAUGGGACAGACAUGACAUCUCAGUCCACAAUAACAUCAGAGCGGGACUCUGAGGGUCUUCUGACAGUGAGCAGCGUUCUGCCAGUGAAGUAGGAGUACAACGUGUUCAGCUGUCUGAUGAGAAGCAAAGCACCAAAGCCAGACUGGCACUCCGGACUUGCCAUCUACAGUUUCUCUCCAGGCGUCUCUGGCUGUUUACUGGCUUUCUGCGUCUUGUUGGUCCUUUA